AAGUCACAAUACUAAGACUGAGCUUUCUUAUAUGCUAGAGCUCCUUUACAAUGCAUUCUGGUGGAUUUGUGUUAAACUAUGGGCCUACUCCAUUUGUACAACUCUUCUAGUUUAGAAAUCUGACAGAUCUUUCGGUUAGGCUUGAGUUGACUUUGCCUUGGGGAAAGGAAUUUUCUUUAGUUGUUUCAAGAGAUGUAGAAUCACUCUAAGGAGAUGAGCUUAACAUACCGACAGACUGGAAUUAUCCCAAAGUUACCCAGAAAGAUAAAAGGUCAUAAAUGGAACAUGAAUGGAACAUCAGAGACUGUCUACAAAUAUCUACUCACAGAUGCCACCUCUGGAAGAAUUGGAGACAUCUGGUCUGGAAAAAACUAAUAAGAAAAUCGAAGAAUGAAGACCUAAUUAACAUCGGAGGUGAGGAGAUUUGAAUCUAAUGGGAAACUGAAUACUGGGGUUGCUCAACUCUGGACCAAUGAACUUUGAAACAGUGCACCUCUAUGGGUUUUGACUGUAUAAAGUUUGGGGGGAAAUCCUGCAAAAAAAUGUGUGCUUGAAAUAUUUUCCUUGGCACAUCCUGGCCAGAAAAUAAACUAAUGCCUGAUUCUCUAUAAUUUCAAAUACAGUGCUAGAGGGUUUUAUUUUCUCCCUGAUUUUUGGUGACAGUAGUGUUCAACAGUUCAGGAAUUAGCAUUUGUGUCUAUAACAGUGGUCCAUUGACCCAGAUCCUCUCAAAACAUAGCACUGAGUUCACUCUUUGAAUGCUUUUGACUCCUCAGCUCAUCAGAGAGGUAACAGUCUUGUAAUUCCCUCCCAGAUCUGCUGCUGCAGUUCCUAGAUGUGUUGUGGCUCUUAAUAGAGUUGUCAAGGAAUAAAAGUAGCUCUGAGCAUUUUUUCUCUA